rnacentral:rRNA from 1 species
UACGUAGGGGCUAGCGUUGUCCGGAAUCAUUGGGCGUAAAGAGCGCGUAGGCGGCCAGAUAAGUCCGGUGUGAAAGUCAAAGGCUCAACCUUUGAAUGCCGCUGGAAACUGUCUGGCUAGAGUCCGGAAGGGCGAGUGGAAUUCCUGGUGUAGCGGUGAAAUGCGCAGAUAUCAGGAGGAACACCAAUGGCGAAGGCAGCUCGCUGGAACGGUACUGACGCUGAGGCGACGAAAGCGUGGGGAGCGAACAGG